rnacentral:lncRNA from 1 species
UUUUUCUCAAGCGAAUAUAUUUUCACUAUAACUAAAAGGAUUAUUUGUUUCUUUUUCUCUUCUUAUCUAUUUGGUGGAUUAUAUUUGCAUGUAUACUAUAAAUAAAAAAUAAAUAUUAUUUUGUAUAUUUAACUUAUUCGUGUUUUUUUAGGUGAAUUAUGUUGUAUGAAAAUUAUUAUUGAGAAAAAUAAAAUUUAUAUAAAUUUGUUGUCGC